rnacentral:rRNA from 1 species
GGGCCCGCACAAGCGGUGGAGCAUGUGGUUUAAUUCGAUGAUACGCGAGGAACCUUACCUAGGCUUAAUGUAGAUUGACGUAUUGGGAAACCAGUAUUUCUUCGGACAAUCUACAAGGUGCUGCAUGGUUGUCGUCAGCUCGUGCCGUGAGGUGUCGGGUUAAGUCCCAUAACGAGCGCAACCCUAUCAUUAGUUGCUAACAUUAGUUGAGGACUCUAAUGAAACUGCCCGCGUAAGCGGUGAGAAGGUGGGAUGACGUCAAAUCAUCACGGCCCUUACGUCUAGGGCUACACACGUGCUACAAUGGUAACUACAGAGGGAAGCUAUCUGGUGACAGUGAGCAAAUCCUUAAAGUUAUCCCAG